UGAGGUAUGCGUGUGUGUUGGAGCAAUGGAGGAUGAAUAGUUACUUUUUGGGAGUUAAAAUAACCAUUUAACACAAAUAAUGUCGAUGUAAUGAUCAUGAGAAAAGUUUAUUGUCUUAUUUCAUUUAGUGUAGUGUAGUUUUGGGGUGAUUUUGGACGAGGGAAAAGCAAGCUAACUAUCAAGCUAGCCCACACGUUUUUUUCUCCCUGCACGUUUGGCAGUGAAGGAGCUCACAUCCAUCUCCUUUAGUGACUUAAACACAAUGCAGGUUGUUUCUGAUGUUCAGUAGAUGCAAAGCACUGCGACAUCAGGUAUGGGUCGUUUGAAAGUAAGUGUGCAAAAACAAUCAGCAUCAAAGACUAUUACUAUAAGUAGACCACAUUGGCAUUGGGAAUGGUGACCAUGCAAUGUAAAAUCAAACCUAAAAACACACCUGAUCAAGAUGAUUGCCAGUCAUUCCUUUGGUCGGUUCAGCAGGCAGACGGUCUCACCAGCCCCCGUGCAAGAAAGGCAGAGAAGGCCUCCGAAGGCGUUAUGUCUGACAGGCACGGUAAAUCAGCUGCAUCAGGCUCUCAGCCUCGAGCACCAUGCAGUGGCUUAAUCCGGUGUGAAUCAAUGUGACGAGGGCCGGGACAGUGUCACACCUCCAGCAGCACUGAGCACCAUUAAGUCCCUGGCGCUGGUUCUGUUAAGUACACACCCACCGAUGUUCCUGCAGAGCUUGGCGCUGGAGUCAGCACGGAGACAGGGUCUGAAGGAUGAGAAGACACAAACAGCACAAGUGAAAUAAUCUGAUGUAACAAGCUCGGAGAAAACAACAGCAUUUCUUUGGCAUCAAGUGUUGUGGAGAUCUAUCGAGCAGAUGUGUGAAAAGCCGCAAAAGACAAAAAGGGAUCAAUGAUUUUUGGCAGGAAAUCCAGAAAAUACAAAAAGAUGUCUCCCAGGACCACACGUCACUGUUUUCCAGACAUGUGUAACGUCCUCCUAAAACCGGGGAUUGAGGUAACACAGAGGGAAAAUCCAACCCAAGUGAAUGGGGAAAAAGUUUGGACACCCCAUGUUUAAAGGGGACCGACUGGACUGUGUUGUUGCGGCGAGGAUGACGAGCAUGUGGUCGCUCAACAAUCGCUUUACAACGAAACUCGGCGACACAAAUCGUUUUUCUCCACACUCCUCGCUCAUUCACACCCGGCUGACCCACUGACGCGUUCAUGGCCCCAGGAAGCGUCUGACAGCACAAACUCCAUAAGUGACAUGGCGCUGCAAUAAUGAAUACAGAUGGUAUAGGUCAGGAGAGAGCAAGCUGAGGGCGCACAAGGAUGGACUCAUCUCUCAACGACUUAGCAGCCACUUUUUGGAAGGUCUUUAAGGGGAACUGCACUUUUUUUUGUUUUUUUUGUCUAUUAUUAUCCUUAUGUAUGACAAAAACAAUUUUUUCCAUUUUUAUGCAUUCUAAAUUGUAAAGAAACUCUAGCAAAAGUCAGCGAAGGGUUGAUGUUCCUUUGUUUGAAAUAUUUUCCUUCCUUAGUUUUAUUUCUUUACACUUUUUCCUUCAUUAAGGUUUGUAAGACUGAAAAUAUGAACAUAAAAUAAACAUUACAAAGUAUAACAUCCAUUGUGUGUUUAACAUAAUAAAAUAGGUUUCAUUGCAUAUUUUACAUAAUUAAAAUAGGUUUAGUGUUAUAUACACAUACAAAUGUUUACACAUAUAGAAAUUACACAACAUUCACACACCAAACAUUGUAUGUGACUUAUCACUGUUAGCGUUGUCGCCCUCUACUGGUCAAAUCUAUCACUACACGUAUUAAACGAGAUUGGAUCGUUAAUCUCAGACAAAAAAAACCAACAUGACCACAAAUACUAAUGACAUCACAAAGUAAGCAAUUUCAAUACAAAACAAACUAAACCUAUUUAUACACAAAUUAUAUCUACUCGCAAAUGUUUGACCAAGUUUGGUGGUUUGAAGGUUACACGCUGGGAUUUCUACCAUUGGUGCUUCUUGUGUCCGUCACUUAAAAAGGUCCGGCAGGAAACAUUACUCAAG